GAUGAACGCUGGCGGCGUGCCUAAUACAUGCAAGUCGAGCGAACGGACGAGAAGCUUGCUUCUCUGAUGUUAGCGGCGGACGGGUGAGUAACACGUGGAUAACCUACCUAUAAGACUGGGAUAACUUCGGGAAACCGGAGCUAAUACCGGAUAAUAUUUUGAACCGCAUGGUUCAAAAGUAAAAGACGGUCUUGCUGUCACUUAUAGAUGGAUCCGCGCUGCAUUAGCUAGUUGGUAAGGUAACGGCUUACCAAGGCAACGAUGAAUAGCCGACCUGAGAGGAGGGUAGGGCAAAGUAGAAAUGAGACACGGACAGGACUGCACCGGGAGGCAGCAGUCGGGAAGAGUCGGCAAGGGGCGAAAGCCUGAAGGAGCAGUGAAGAGGGAAUAAUAAAGGUAUUCGGAUCUUAAAACGCUGUUAUGAGGGAAAAACAUAAGUGUACGUAAAUGUGCAGAACUGGAGGGUACGUAAUAAGAAAGCAAGGGCUAACUACGUG
rnacentral:rRNA from 1 species